rnacentral:rRNA from 1 species
GCGGACGGGUGAGUAACGCGUGAGUGAUCUGCCUGGAGGCGGGGGACAACCCGGGGAAACCCGGGCUAAUACCGCAUGGAUGCGACGGGGGUGGGUCCCUGUCGUGAAAGCUGGCCUCUCGUUGAAGCCAGCGCCUCCGGAGGAGCUCGCGUCCUAUCAGCUAGCUGGUGAGGUAAGGGCUCCCCAGGGCGAUGACGGGUAGCUGGCGUGAGAGCGUGGUCUGCCACACUGGGACUGAGACACGGCCCAGACUCCUACGGGAGGCAGCAGUGGGGAAUCUUGCACAAUGGGCGCAAGCCUGAUGCAGCGACGCCGCGUGGGGGAGGACGGCCGAGAGGUUGUAAACCCCUGUCGGGCGGGAAGAAUCAAGGGGUCGGCGAACAGCCGGCGCCCCUGACGGUACCGCCAGCAGGAAGCUCCGGCUAACUCCGUGCCAGCAGCCGCGGUAAAACGGAGGGAGCGAGCGUUGUCCGGAAUUACUGGGCGUACAGGGCGCGUAGGCGGCCGGAUCAGUCGUGUGUGAACGCCCCGGGCUCAACCCGGGAGGUGCAGGCGAAAC